GUAAAUUUCACCAGAACUGGUAAAUUUCUGCAAGAUGUGUUUUUAAACAAGAAGUGGCCCUAUUCUCCACCAGUAUUGCAGAUAUGUAGUAAAUUUCCAACAGAGUAGGAUGGAUGAGAAACCAGACGUGCUUGCAACUACAUUAUUUUGUUUUUCUAUCAGGCUUGACCAGGAAAAGCAGCCUAGCCCAACUUGGUGGUUGCCUGCAGGGACAGCAUCUUCAAAGACAGUCGACCUUUUUUAACUUCUUACAGAGGAGAAAAGCC
rnacentral:lncRNA from 1 species